rnacentral:lncRNA from 1 species
CUUCAGUAUUUCAGUAGACUCCUUUGAGGGAGAUCAGAAAAUGCUACAUGGCUUUAUGUAUUCAAGUUUAUUCCGUUUCAUUUGCUUAUCACGGAUAUCCUAUUCAAGGUGAUGGAAGCUGGAUACACAGCAUUUUUUUUUCCAGCUCAGCUGCGAUAAAACAGUGGCACACUCACCAUCUCCAUGCCAGGCCAGGACCUAGAAAUGCAGAGAGAAGGGAGAUAGCAUUUCGUGAGUGUCCUCUGGGUGCCAGUCAUUGAGUCUCUCCUUUCAGUUAUCCAUCACAACAACCACAUAAAGAGGACACUUUUAUCCCCAUUGUGUAAGUGGUGAACUCGCAGCUAAACAGAGAGCAAGUGGCUGAACCAGGAUUUGAACCCAGCUCUGCCUGGAGCACAGCUGGGCUCCAUCUGCUACUACACUGCACCCCACUCCCUAAAGGGCACAGAGGCCUCUUUGCCCGUCUCUUCCUCCCCUGCUCCUCCUCACAUAUUUAUCCAGAUGAAAUCAAGUUCAAAUGAUGAUCAAAGUCACAUGAGGGGCCAGGUGUGGUGACUCACGCCUGUAAUCCCAGCACUUUGGAAAGCCGAGGUAGGUGGCUUACUUGAGGUCAGGAGUUCAAGACCAGCUUGGCCAACAUGGUGAAACCCCCUAUCUACUACAAAUACAAAAAAGUUAACCAGGUAUGGUUAGGUGAGGGGGAGGGAGGCGCCUGUAAUCCCAGCUACUCAGGAGGCUGAGGCAGGAGAAUCACUUGAACCCAGGAGGUGGAGGUUGCAGUGAGCCGAGAUCACACCACUGCACUCCAGCCUGGGCAACAGAGCGGGACUCCAUCUAAAAAUAAUAAUAAUAAUAAUAAAAUUCACAUGAGGGUGGAGAGGUUAGGAAACAGCUGUGCUUUUUAAGCUGUUGGCAGUGGGUCUGGAGUUUGGGGUUUGGAGAAGGCUCCCCAUUUCCUGGGCAGAUAGGAGUGAGCUGGGCUGAUGGCAGGCAGGUUCUAGAAGCUACCAGCCUUGGGAGCCCACCCUUCUCUUCCUCCCUCCUGGCUAUUACCCCCAGCACCUGCCCUAAUGCUGGCCAGAGUGGAGGGCGGAGGGCCAGCCCCUGACCCAGGUACCCAGUGGCCCCUCUGAGAUGCCUCUGGCCUCUGGCUGCUACCCUCUCCUGGGCAUUUUCCAUUUACUGUGAUGGCAGAAAAACCCAGUACCCUUAAACAGUAAACAACACAGUGAACUGUGAGUGAAGUCCGUGUGGGCUUAGCCAGACCUGUGUGUUUGCAAACCGGAUCCCAGUAUGGACUGUGCCCUGCAGGCGGCCUCUCUUGCUAGAAUCUGUUCUGGAACUAGCCCGGUUGAUGAGCAUGUUGAUAUUAACGGCCUGGCUUGGCCAAAGCUUCCGGCCCAGCACGCUUUAGCAUCAGCUGGUUAUUCUGAGAACAUUCUUUUCAAAACACUCUACAGGACAAACAGGCCGAGAGGUUCCUUUGUCCACAGCUGGCCUCUGAAACUGAGCAGACUCUCAAAGGGUUGAGAAGAACCCCGAGGAGGCUAUCGUCUGCACUCAGAGGCUGAAACGUUUGAAAACAGGUGCGGGAGGGGGCGGGGAGGAUGGUCAGUGACAGCACAUUCUUCAGCAAACAUGUGUCAUUUGUGCUUUUACCAGAGCGGAGCUUUUAAUUCCUAAAAUAUAACAGCCUGGUGCAGGGGCUGGAAGAAGAGGGCGCGUUUUAUGUGCAACUCUGCUAAGGGCUUGGUUGCUGAAUGAAAGGUUUGGUUCCAUGGAGGUUCAGGUACCUUCGCCUUCAGAACCACACCUUCCUUUUCAUCUCCAGCCUCCCUGGGCUCUCACCUGGCUGCUAGGGGGUCGGGGGUGGGUUGGUCUCAGCCCUCCUGGAGCUCUGCUUGCUACUGGGUGGGAAGGCUUGCUCUAUACUGCAGACAUCUUUCUGGAUUGAGGCUAUCAAUUGACUCCCUGCCCUCUGCCUCCUAUGUCCGUGAUUCCUGCUUGUCACAGAAGAGCUGCUGGGUCUUCGUUGCUUUUAUCUCCAAAGCCUUUUGAUGAGGUAGAAAGGAAAGGUCAUCAGAUUCAGGCUGACCUGCGUUUCCACUUCUGCGUUGUCAUUUGCAGCUGUGUGGCCUAGGACUAGUGGCUGAACCUCUCUGGGCCCCAGUAAGACGGGAAACCAAACACUGGCCUCAUUGCGUUGGUUAUCAUGCAGAGUCAGUAAGCCCAGGGAAAACAUUCACACAAAAAUGCUAAUAGCUGAUGGUUACUGAGCUCUUUGUGUGUAUCAUGCUCUAUUCGACGUGCUUGGCCAUACAUUAACUUAUUUGAUUUUUUCCAAAAUACUUUGAGAUAGAUACUGUUAUCGACCUCAUUUUACCAAAAGGUAACGAAGGCAUGGAGAAGGUAAAUUGCUUGCCAAGCGUUGCCUGAUUUUAAACCUCUGCGAUCUGUAUACAGAACCUGUGCUUAUAAUUUUGAUUUAAAUACUUACUAAAUAAACAAUAACUUUUAUUAUGUUGCUCGUUAAUACUCCCUGACAACUAAGUUGAAGCUACUGCUUAUCCUCAACUGCCAACAACCACUGAUGUCACUGGACUCCAGCACCCUUCGUAAUACAGACCCAUUAAUUUAUCUAAUCCAGAAAUACUGUUGUUGUUUUUUUUCCCCUUUUAGCAGAGCCCUCCCUAUUGGUUCAUAUUGUCUCCUUGGAACCUAUGUGGGUCUUCUUGGGGAUGAAGACAUUAUUGAAAUUUUUGCUGGUUGGGCACGGUGGCUCACGCCUGUAAUCCCAACACUUUGGGAGGCCGAGGCGGGUGGAUCACCUGAGGUCAG